UCCAGACUCCUACGGGAGGCAGCAGUGGGGAAUAUUGCACAAUGGGCGCAAGCCUGAUGCAGCCAUGCCGCGUGUAUGAAGAAGGCCUUCGGGUUGUAAAGUACUUUCAGCGGGGAGGAAGGUGUUGUGGUUAAUAACCACAGCAAUUGACGUUACCCGCAGAAGAAGCACCGGCUAACUCCGUGCCAGCAGCCGCGGUAAUACGGAGGGUGCAAGCGUUAAUCGGAAUUACUGGGCGUAAAGCGCACGCAGGCGGUCUGUCAAGUCGGAUGUGAAAUCCCCGGGCUCAACCUGGGAACUGCAUUCGAAACUGGCAGGCUGGAGUCUUGUAGAGGGGGGUAGAAUUCCAUGUGUAGCGGUGAAAUGCGUAGAGAUGUGGAGGAAUACCGGUGGCGAAGGCGGCCCCCUGGACAAAGACUGACGCUCAGGUGCGAAAGCGUAGGGAGCAAACAGGAUUAGAUACCCGAGUAA
rnacentral:rRNA from 1 species